GGGGAAUCUUGCGCAAUGGGCGAAAGCCUGACGCAGCGACGCCGCGUGAGCGAUGAAGGCCUUUGGGUUGUAAAGCUCUGUGGGGAGAGAAGAAUAAGGGUUGGCUAACAUCCAACCUGAUGACGGUAUCUCCUUAGCAAGCACCGGCCAACUCUGUGCCAGCAGCCGCGGUAAGACAGAGGGUGCAAACGUUGUUCGGAAUCACUGGGCGUAAAGCGCGUGUAGGCGGCUUGGCAAGUCGGAUGUGAAAUCCCACGGCUCAACCAUGGAAGUGCAUUCGAAACUGCCAGACUAGAGUCCUGGAGAGGAAGGCGGAAUACUCGGUGUAGAGGUGAAAUUCGUAGAUAUCGAGUGGAACACCGGUGGCGAAGGCGGCCUUCUGGACAGUGACUGACGCUGAAACGCGAAAGCGUGGGGAGCAAAC
rnacentral:rRNA from 1 species